UAACGCGUGAGGAACCUGCCUUUCAGAGGGGGACAACAGCUGGAAACGGCUGCUAAUACCGCAUAACAUAUAGGUAUCGCAUGGUGCCUAUAUCAAAGAUUUAUCGCUGAAAGAUGGCCUCGCGUCUGAUUAGCUAGUUGGUAGGGUAACGGCCUACCAAGGCGACGAUCAGUAGCCGGACUGAGAGGUUGGCCGGCCACAUUGGGACUGAGAUACGGCCCAGACUCCUACGGGAGGCAGCAG
rnacentral:rRNA from 1 species